rnacentral:rRNA from 1 species
CCUACGGGGGGCAGCAGUGGGGAAUAUUGCACAAUGGGGGGAACCCUGAUGCAGCCAUGCCGCGUGUGUGAAGAAGGCCUUCGGGUUGUAAAGCACUUUCAGUAAGGAGGAAAGGGAUGUAGUUAAUAACUGCAUUCUGUGACGUUACUUACAGAAGAAGCACCGGCUAACUUCGUGCCAGCAGCCGCGGUAAUACGAGGGGUGCAAGCGUUAAUCGGAAUUACUGGGCGUAAAGCGUUCGUAGGCGGUUGAUUAAGCAAGAUGUGAAAGCCCAGGGCUCAACCUUGGAACUGCAUUUUGAACUGUUCAACUAGAGUACUGUAGAGGGUGGUGGAAUUUCCAGUGUAGCGGUGAAAUGCGUAGAGAUUGGAAGGAACAUCAGUGGCGAAGGCGGCCACCUGGACAGAUACUGACGCUGAGGAACGAAAGCGUGGGGAGCRAACAGGAUUAGAUACCCUGGUAGUCCACGCCGUAAACGRUGUCAACUAGCCGUUUGUGUCCUAAAGACGUGAGUGGCGCAGCUAACGCACUAAGUUGACCRCCUGGGGAGUACGGCCGCAAAGUUAAAACUCAAAUGAAUUGACGGGGGCCCGCACAAGCGGUGGAGCAUGUGGUUUAAUUCGAUGCAACGCGAGGACCUUACCAUCCCUUGACAUCCAGAGAAGAGAUUAGAGAUAGAUUUUGCCUUCGGGAACUCUGUGACAGUUGCUGCAUGGCUGUCGUCAGCUCGUGUUGUGAAAUGUUGGGUUAGUCCCGCAACGAGCGCAACCCUAUCCUUAUUUGCCAGCAAGUAUGUCGGGAACUCUAAGGAGACUGCCGGUGAUAAACCGGAGGAAGGUGGGGAYGACGUCAAGUCAUCAUGGCCCUUACGGGAUGGGUUACACACGUGCUACAAUGGCAGGUACAGAGGGCAGCGAUACCGCGAGGUGGAGCGAAUCCCAGAAAGYUUGUCGUAGUCCGGAUUGGAGUCUGCAACUCGACUCCAUGAAGUCGGAAUCGCUAGUAAUCGURGAUCAGAAUGYUACGGUGAAUACGUUCCCGGGCCUUGUACACACCGCCCGUC